GUGGGGAAUCUUCCGCAAUGGACGAAAGUCUGACGGAGCAACGCCGCGUGAGUGAUGAAGGUCUUCGGAUUGUAAAGCUCUGUUAAUCGGGACGAAAGAGCCUAGUGUGAAUAAUGCUAGGAAGUGACGGUACCGGAAUAGAAAGCCACGGCUAACUACGUGCCAGCAGCCGCGGUAAUACGUAGGUGGCAAGCGUUGUCCGGAAUUAUUGGGCGUAAAGCGCGCGCAGGCGGAUCUGCCAGUCUGUCUUAAAAGUUCGGGGCUUAACCCCGUGAUGGGAUGGAAACUACAGAUCUAGAGUAGCGGAGAGGAAAGUGGAAUUCCUAGUGUAGCGGUGAAAUGCGUAGAUAUUAGGAAGAACACCAGUGGCGAAGGCGACUUUCUGGACGAAAACUGACGCUGAGGCGCGAAAGCCAGGGGAGCGAACGGGAUUAGAAACCCGAGUAGUCC
rnacentral:rRNA from 1 species